rnacentral:tRNA from 1 species
ACCCAAUAUGGUAAGGAAAGAAA